GCAAGUGAAACUAAACUGCUCGAUAUGGCAAGCCGUUAUAUAUAUCUACCAUCCUCGUUGCUCUUUUCUUACUAUUUGGUUAACUUUGAAUUAACUACACUGUUUCUUCCGUCUUCGUUUCUUUAAAACAAAUUUCCAUGUGAUGGGUACAGGUCAUGUACCAGUACUAAAGGACAAGCUACCUGCAAUCUUCUGCUUAGUUGUCGAUUUAACCUAUAUUAACCAGAAAACGAAGAAAACCUGAAGAAUGAUGCAAAAGGAAAAUGUAGCUGAACGUGGAAAAACCACUGUUUGUUGAAAGCCAUAUGAAAUAACCUGCCCCAUUGUCUGAGAAAAUGAACAGGAUCAACUAUGCUGAUUGGCUCCAGUGCUUUUUACAAGCGAGAGCUAAAGGAAAGCGAACAAUAUUGUAGAUAGAAGAGGAGCAGUCAUAUGAAUGUAAACAAUAAGCUUUUCAAACUUCGUUGGACAAACACCAAUAAAUGCCAGUACGACUGUACACUGAUGCAACAAACUACUUGCACUGCUGCACCAAGCACACUAGUAAUAUGGUAAGACAUCACACAUUAUUUCAGUAUUAUAAAAUGACAAAGUUAUACAUGUGCAUUUGUGUACAUAAAGGUGUUUAGCUUUUACCCUUAAACUUCUUUAUUUACUAGUAAAAAUUGCAAAUGAAGUAAAGAAAAAUCAAGCCAAAAUCUACUUACCUUAAAGUACGUUGCUUCCUGCUGUGGCCAUAUGACGAAGUACUCUUUGAAAGGAAGAUACUUGAAUGACAGUGAAUAGAUGUGUUGCCUGCCAUCUUAUAUACGCGUAGCCAGGUUCCGAAUCCUACCUUUCCUUACAAAAUGUUUAGGGAAAGGUUGACCCGACCUUUUUGCAGUGACCUCGACUAGAAGAAUAACCUUAGGCGAUUCCUUUACAGAGAAUAAAAUAUCCUCUGGCUCUGAAUGUAGGUCUGCCGCUUUUAAUGCUUUUAUGGCGGUUCAGGCCAUCGAACGUGGAUUUUAAAAAUUUUCACAUGCUGGGUACCUUUCAUAAUAUUUGGAUACACCGAUCACACACCAUCACAGCUGAGUAUUAACAUUUGGUUUUGCCUCUUCACUGGUUUAAUCUAAUCGUACAGGCUGCUUAUAAAUUCUUUUUGUGUUAUAAAAAAAUUGCUAUAAUAGUUUACUUAGAUAAUAUCGAAGGAGGACAUUUAUAUCAAAAGAACUGCUACUUUUUUUUGAAGAUGUUAUAAAUCACCAACAUUGGUUGUUUAUGAACAGUAAGGUAUUUGCAUGUUAUUAUUAGUUUUUUAGCUUUUUAUUAAUCCCGUGAGCAUAUUAGCUACUUUGUUUUUUUUUCUCUGUUUACAAUCUUUGACACCCAGUGAGUGUCUACCUGCUUAACUUCGCAUUUCUGUCACCCAACUAGGCGAUCCACAAAUGGAUUUUCUGCAAUUGUUCCCUAACUAUAAGAAGGGAUACUUCCGCACCGUCGCUCCCACACCUGCUCUGGUAAGACCAUGGAUGUUUGGCUGAAGAUCGUUCUUUACGGUAACGUACAUCUUGCAUUUUAGUGUUCCCGAUUGGAGAAGAUCGCUUGAUUCCAGUCUGGAUCCAUUCGGGCGUUGUAAUUCAUUUGCUCCCUAGACUGGACAGAAUAUUUUAUAGCAGAUCCAUAGAAGAACAUGAAACUCGGCUUUAUUUCGUCACCGUGGUCGGUGAACUACUGAGAAGCUUCCAAGCAGCAGUAACAUUAAGUUAAGACGCCCAUUUUGCUCGCAUCGGUCCUAAAUUCAAUAGUAAAGGAACGAUUCGUCUCGGCAAACAGAAAUGGUUUGUCUGGAUUUUCACAUCGGUGUAACGAAGUUAAUUUCACUUCCGAUGUGUUCCUCUUGAAUGUCUUAAAGUGUUGGAAAGAGGCAAAAGCAAAGCAAAUAGGCUGCUUUUGUUUAUCAGCAUUGUACGUCGCGAUCAUUUAACGGUUAGUACCCAUAAUUAGUUGAAGACACGUGAAGUUCUGUUUUUUUGCUCUCGAACAAAUUGGCCGUUUAUUUCCAGAACUCCCAGUCACCUGACACCUUCCCAUACAUUAUAGUAUACGAAACAGGACACUGCACAUUACCAUAUGAGGCCAUAUUCAAUGGAACUUCACUGUUGUUGAGAUUUGGUGUACAUUUGCGUUGUUCCUCGAUCGCUCACUAAAGAAAGAAUGUGUGAACUAUAAGUGAAAAACUUCGUUAUACCAUGAACAAAAGGGGAUUUUGAAUUGAAUCCCGAAAAGUCACGGACAUUGCAAUGGCUUUUAAAAAUCCGGAACUCAGUGUGAAAUCAAAAUCCAUGCAGUGGUAUAAAAGAUUGUGGCGCAAAUUAUGGCAGGGGAAACCAAAAUCUAAACUUCAAGCAGCUAUAUCCAAAGAAGAAUGUCAAGAAUCAUCCAGGAAUGUGGGAGUCGGUAAGAAUGCUGAAACGAAUAAUGUCAAAACAGAUGAACAUGUCUGGUUUUAUUGGCAUUCACAUUACGCUUCUAUAAAUGAAAAUUCGAUGACAUCUAACCAGCUGAACCCACUAUCAAAUCCCGACGCCACCAUGCAUAAUAUUGCGCAGCCUGAGUUCAAUGACGCUGUGGAUGAUGUGCUGCCUUUUUAUGAGACCCUAGGACAUGGCCGAAACAUCCCUGAUGCAAACUUUCUCGUACCAGCGCAAGUCGUUAGUGAUAAUACUGAACUUAACAUUACUGGGGUGCCAGAUGUUGCAGAACAAUAUCACAAUUCAUCAACAUACGACUCAAUGCAUGCAGCUGAAUUUUGCUUCGACAGCUAUUGUUCCGACUCGUCCGUUAGUUACUAAGCAUUGUCGAUGAGGGUGAA